rnacentral:lncRNA from 1 species
AAGAAUUCAUCGGUGCUACUAUUAAUGAGUGCAAUAGAAAUACUCCGGUAAGCAACAAAAAUCUGCACAAAUCUUUUUUAUACAUGUUUGAGAAUAUCAGCUGUACAUAUAUGAGUAUUUGGGGGGGGGGGGGGGGGGGGGGGGGGGGGGGGGCUGAACUACCAUCAUUUGCCCAUGUUGUUGCGUAAACGUAUCUGUGAAAGUACAUGUUUUGGGUGUGUGGGCAGCUCCAUCAUCCAUGGAUCAGGUGAGCCCCAAUUUACAGUCGAAGAAAGGAGACCCAUUAUAUCUUCAGUUCAGUGAGCUGUGAUCGAGUUCCAACCAUACCAGCCUCCAGGAUGUCUUCGUCGAACUUUGGGGGACUAGACGGCGUGCUGCUCGAGGGCGUGUGCGUGUCUGAUAGGAACACAUCCGAGUUGUUGUCAGACCAUUCUGCGGCGGUGGCGGCGGCAUCAGCAUCACCAGCUUCUGCAUCUCGGGGGAUUUCUGGAUUGGGUUCGACUUUGGUGUCAUCCACUUCGUGUUCCUCCUGUGCAG